GACGAACGCUGGCGGCGUGCUUAACACAUGCAAGUCGAACGGAAAGGCCCUGCUUGCCGGGUGCUCGAGUGGCGAACGGGUGAGUAACACGUGGGUGAUCUGCCCCUUAUUUUGGGAUAAGCCUGGGAAACUGGGUCUAAUACUGGAUAGGACCAUGCUGUAGGUGGUGUGGUGGAAAGAUUAGUUUCGGUAAGGGAUGAGCUCGCGGCCUAUCAGCUUGUUGGUGGGGUAAUGGCCUACCAAGGCGUCGACGGGUAGCCGGCCUGAGAGGGUGGACGGCCACAUUGGGACUGAGAUACGGCCCAGACUCCUACGGGAGGCAGCAGUGGGGAGUAUUGCACAAUGGGCGCAAGCCUGAUGCAGCGACGCCGCGUGGGGGAUGACGGCCUUCGGGUUGUAAACUCCUUUCAGCCAUGACGAAGCCCUUGUGGUGACGGUAGUGGUAGAAGAAGCACCGGCUAACUACGUG
rnacentral:rRNA from 1 species